GACAGGUGGUGCAUGGUUGUCGUCAGCUCGUGUCGUGAGAUGUUGGGUUAAGUCCCGCAACGAGCGCAACCCUUAAGCUUAGUUGCCAUCAUUAAGUUGGGCACUCUAAGUUGACUGCCGGUGACAAACCGGAGGAAGGUGGGGAUGACGUCAAAUCAUCAUGCCCCUUAUGAUUUGGGCUACACACGUGCUACAAUGGACAAUACAAAGGGCAGCGAAACCGCGAGGUCAAGCAAAUCCCAUAAAGUUGUUCUCAGUUCGGAUUGUAGUCUGCAACUCGACUACAUGAAGCUGGAAUCGCUAGUAAUCGUAGAUCAGCAUGCUACGGUGAAUACGUUCCCGGGUCUUGUACACACCGCCCGUCACACCACGAGAGUUUGUAACACCCGAAGCCGGUGGAGUAACCUUUUAGGAGCUAGCC
rnacentral:rRNA from 1 species